AGGUCAAAAGUGACCCGGUCCAUAAAAGCAACAAUAAAAUCCACCAGCAAUAUCUAGUCUUACCAAAUGUGGAAAAAGGAAAGUUACCAGACCUUCCAUUGACUAUACCAAACUAUUGCUGCUGCCACUAUUAAUGAGCUGCUCUUGUCCAUCUUUUUGAAAAUUCCAUGGAAAUGAUACUCCUUCAAACGGUUCUUUUCUCAAGAUCUCCAACAAUCGAAGUUCUUCAAAUGGUUCCUUCAGAUCCAAAGAUUGGGAAUAUUUACAUACCAACCAAGCUGAACUAUGGUUGCUAUUUAACCUCCAAGUUGCAAUGAAACUACGGUUGCAUCCAGGUUCUGUCUCUCAUGUCCGCAAUCAGACACCUUAUUAGGAUCUCUAUCUUCUGCUAUUGGUGAGCCUCUUUUCGGAGGUUGGACGGGAUAUCAUGACUUCAUUAUAUUUUGUUUCUUUUUAUUGGUACUUAUUAGAGGCUUCACACACUGAUUUAGUUGCUAGACAAAUCUUGUAAUUUUUAGUAUUAUUUGUCAUGACUAUUGUAUCUUUAGACGUAAUGUGAUAUUAAUGAACAUUGAUGAAAGACUUUAUCCUUUAA